AACACAUGCAAGUCGAGCGAGAAGGGAGCUUCGGCUCCCGGAAAGCGGCGAACGGGUGAGUAACACGUGGGCAACCUGCCUCAAGGAUUGGGACAACGUCGGGAAACCGACGCUAAUACCGAACGAUGUCGUCCGGCGCAAGCCGGCCGACCAAAGGGUAGCUUCGGCCUCCGCCUUGAGAUGGGCCCGCGUCCUAUCAGCUUGUUGGUGAGGUAACGGCUCACCAAGGCUACGACGGGUAGCUGGUCUGAGGGGAUGAUCAGCCACACUGGGACUGAGAUACGGCCCAGACUCCUACGGGAGGCAGCAGUGGGGAAUCUUGCGCAAUGGGCGAAAGCCUGACGCAGCAGCGCCGCGUGAGCGAAGAAGGCCUUCGGGUUGUAAAGCUCUGUCAGGGGGAAAGAAGGCACCUGGGUUAAUAGCCCAAGGGCUGACGGUACCUCCAAAGGAAGCCACGGCUAACUACGUGCCAGCAGCCGCGGUAAUACGUAGGUGGCAAGCGUUGUCCGGAAUCAUUGGGCGUAAAGAGCGCGUAGGUGGCUUGUCAGGUCUGAUGUGAAAACCUGGGGCUCAACUCCAGGCCUGCAUCAGAAACCGGCUUGCUAGAGUCUGGGAGAGGAGAGUGGAAUUCCUGGUGUAGCGGUGAAAUGCGUAGAUAUCAGGAGGAACACCGGUAGCGAAGGCGGCUCUCUGGAACAGUACUGACGCUGAGGCGCGAAAGCUAGGGGGGCGAACAGGAUUAGAUACCCUGGUAGUCCUAGCCGUAAACGAUGGACACUAGGUGUCGGGGGUGUCGACUCCCCCGGUGCCGAAGCUAACGCAUUAAGUGUCCCGCCUGGGGACUACGGCCGCAAGGCUGAAACUCAAAGGAAUUGACGG
rnacentral:rRNA from 1 species